rnacentral:rRNA from 1 species
UACAGAGGGUGCGAGCGUUGUUCGGAAUUAUUGGGCGUAAAGCGCUUGUAGGCGGCACGUCAAGUCGCGUGUGAAAUCCCCAGGCUUAACCUGGGAAGUGCGCGCGAAACUGACGAGCUUGAGUGCCGGAGAGGGCCGCGGAAUUCCCGGUGUAGAGGUGAAAUUCGUAGAUAUCGGGAGGAACACCAGUGGCGAAGGCGGCUCACUGGCCCGGUACUGACGCUGAGAUGCGAAAGCGUGGGGAGCAAACAGG